rnacentral:rRNA from 1 species
UACGUAGGUGGCAAGCGUUGUCCGGAAUUAUUGGGCGUAAAGCGCGCGCAGGCGGCCCUUUAAGUCUGGUGUGAAAGCCCACGGCUCAACCGUGGAGGGUCAUUGGAAACUGGGGGACUUGAGUGCAGGAGAGAAGAGUGGAAUUCCACGUGUAGCGGUGAAAUGCGUAGAGAUGUGGAGGAACACCAGUGGCGAAGGCGACUCUGUGGCCUGUAACUGACGCUGAGGCGCGAAAGCGUGGGGAGCAAACAGG